rnacentral:rRNA from 1 species
GCCAGACUCCUACGGGAGGCAGCAGUGGGGAAUAUUGCACAAUGGGCGCAAGCCUGAUGCAGCCAUGCCGCGUGUGUGAAGAAGGCCUUCGGGUUGUAAAGCACUUUCAGCGGGGGGGAAGGCAAUAAGGUUAAUAACCUUGUUGAUUGACGUUACCCGCAGAAGAAGCACCGGCUAACUCCGUGCCAGCAGCCGCGGUAAUACGGAGGGUGCAAGCGUUAAUCGGAAUUACUGGGCGUAAAGCGCACGCAGGCGGUCUGUCAAGACGGAUGUGAAAUCCCCGGGCUCAACCUGGGAACUGCAUUCGAAACUGGCAGGCUAGAGUCUUGUAGAGGGGGGUAGAAUUCCAGGUGUAGCGGUGAAAUGCGUAGAGAUCUGGAGGAAUACCGGUGGCGAAGGCGGCCCCCUGGACAAAGACUGACGCUCAGGUGCGAAAGCGUGGGGAGCAAACAGGAUUAGAUACCCGUGUACA